UACGUAGGGGGCAAGCGUUGUCCGGAUUCAUUGGGCGUAAAGCGCGGGCAGGCGGCCCGUUAAGUCGGCCGUGAAAGCGCCGGGCUCAACUCGGCGAGGACGGGCGAGACUGACGGGCUCGAGGUUGGCAGAGGGCGGUGGAAUUCCGGGUGUAGUGGUGGAAUGCGUAGAGCUCCGGAGGAACACCAGUGGCGAAGGCGGCCGCCUGGGCCAAUACUGACGCUGAGCCGCGAAAGCGUGGGGAGCGAGCCGG
rnacentral:rRNA from 1 species